GUUGACAUAUGAGGUACGUUGACAUUGAAAUGCUGAACGCGGGUUAAGCGGGUUAGGAGAGUGAAGUGGUGAUUACAGAGGGGCGCUAUUUCCAAGAAAUUCUGAUAGGGAGUCAUGGGAUCGCAAAUUUGAAUACCAGCUUUUUUCGAUACUAUUCAUCACAUUCGGUGGUUUGUGGCUGAAAAUUGCGCCAAACAAAAAUCAUUCACUCAUCAUUCAUUGUGAAUCACAUAGCAAACGGUCAACAUUGCUGCCAUAUGAUUAAUUUCAGUUUGUGUUAAUGUGAAAUACAUUAUUCGUUUUCAAAAUCAUGAUCAAGCUUUUUUUCGGCGAUGUGAACCAAAAUUUUUCUUGCCAAAAAUCAAAUAUAAAAAAUGUUUUAAUACAACUCAAAAGACUCAUUGUUGGCCAAAAAGAGAACAUGGUGUCCGCAUUCCAGGAAUUUUUAUUCACGUUUUAUUCAUCGCACCUGGAAGAAAAUUCACCAUCCCAAUUGACAUUGGGUAGAACAUUCGAAAUGACACACGGCCGAACGCUUUUUGCUGAAGAAUUUAUCGGUGGAACAAGUUAUGCCAAAACAUAUUUUUGGUCAUUCGUUCGGAAUAUUCAU